UAUAUCUGUGUGUGUGGCAGAGUAAGAAAUAACAUUAGGCUAAAUGGAUGUGGGCCUUCAUUUAAUGAUUGGCUGUUUGCUUUUCUAUUAUAUUUUUUAAGAGUAUCUUUUUUUUAUUAUUUGUCUUACCAUAAAGUGCUGAAAUGUCUGAUUAAGAUGAAUAAAACCAUAAAAUAAAAAUGCUGUCGUUUACUUUUUACAAAAUACAUUGUCUAACACAUGAGCUCUGUAAGUCUGCUCUAAUUGGUGUGAUUUCAUUUUGUUUGGAAUCCAUAAUGUGAUGCCAACUGAAUGCUUGUGAAAUCAAGUCACUUGAGGAAUUCAGUGGGUAAACUCAUAAAAGGUUUUUUUUUAAUCUGUAAGACAAAGAACAGAUACAAACAAUGCAGUUAUAUAUGUACCAUGAGAGUGCAUUUAUCAUGAGCUGUAGUUAGAAUAAUGACUGUUAUAUAAAUUUAAUAAGAUAAUUUGACUUUAAAGAUGUGGCUUUACAGAAAUAUCUCGGAAACUGAAUGCAAACAGAAAUAUUGGCCAUAAAACUAACAAUAAGGAUAUAGAGAGAAAAUAUAAGUGAAGACAGAUGCAGACCAUUCAGACAGUAAAUUUGGAUGCCAGGCUGGUUAAGCCUGAUGUGAUUUUUCUUUUUUAAACUUUCAUAUUUGAUUGUAUGUUUGUAUAUGUGCAUGUGUUUUCUUAUAGAAUGCGAAUCAUGUUGAGGGUCAAAACAGAAAGAGACUGAGUCCAUCUUCACAGGUUGUAAAACAUUACUUUAUUUAUUCCACUUGUAGCUUAUUUUCCAAUAGUUAAAAGAAAACAUUUUAAACAAUACCUGAACAUUAAAAAAAAUCUAUUAUAUUAAAAAAAAGCUGUAUUCCUGAAUACAUGCACUUCAGUUACAGAGCUCGCAAAACAUUCAGUGUAAACAUUUAUCAUAAUAAAUGCAAUGUGAUAUAGGAGUACAUCUUGAGAUAGUAGCUCUAAUUUAUACUGAUUUUGAGGAUUUGUUUUGUGCAUGUGGGAAAACCUUCAAAAUGACAUAAUGAGGAAG
rnacentral:lncRNA from 1 species